UUUGUAGCAAACAAAAUCAAAUGCACAACAUUUUAAACAAUACUUGGUGGUGGAGCAACUUACGUCAGAACGUCGUGAGCUAAGACCCUGUUAAGUAUUUUUAAAACCAAAAUACAAAAGGCUUGUC
rfam:Sinomicrobium oceani strain CGMCC 1.12145 genome assembly, contig: IQ32DRAFT_scaffold00029.29